GCUUAUUUCUAGAGAUAGAAAGUUACUUCGGUACAUCGGUGACAGGUGGUGCAUGGUUGUCGUCAGCUCGUGUCGUGAGAUGUUGGGUUAAGUCCCGCAACGAGCGCAACCCCUAUUGUUAGUUGCCAUCAUUCAGUUGGGCACUCUAGCGAGACUGCCGGUAAUAAACCGGAGGAAGUGGGAUGACGUCAAAUCAUCAUGCCCCUUAUGACCUGGGCUACACACGUGCUACAAUGGUUGGUACAACGAGUUGCGAGUCGGUGACGGCGAGCUAAUCUCUUAAAGCCAAUCUCAGUUCGGAUUGUAGGCUGCAACUCGCCUACAUGAAGUCGGAAUCGCUAGUAAUCGCGGAUCAGCACGCCGCGGUGAAUACGUUCCCGGGCCUU
rnacentral:rRNA from 1 species